CAGCCGCCGCGGUAAUACCGGCGGCCCGAGUGGCGGCCACUAUUAUUGGGCUUAAAGCGUCCGUAGCCGGGUUGGUUAGUCUCCCGGGAAAUCUGGCCGCUUAACGGGCAGAAUUCCGGGAGAUACUGCCAGCCUAGGGACCGGGAGGGGCCGAGGGUAUUCCCGGGGUAGGGGUGAAAUCCUAUAAUCCCGGGAGGACCACCUGUGGCGAAGGCGCUCGGCUGGAACGGGUCCGACGGUGAGGGACGAAGGCCAGGGGAGCAAACCGGAUUAGAUACCCGGGUAGUCCUGGCUGUAAACGAUGCGGACUUUGUGUCGGACAAGCUAUGAGCUUGUCCGGUGCCGGAGGGAAACCGUUAAGUCCGCCGCCUGGGGAGUACGGCCGCAAGGCUGAAACUUAAAGGAAUUGGCGGG
rnacentral:rRNA from 1 species